rnacentral:tRNA from 1 species
GAAGGUAUAACUCAGUGAUAGAGUGCUUGCCUAGCAUGCAAGAUGCCCUGGGUUCAAUUCACAACAUCACA